rnacentral:rRNA from 1 species
AACGAACGCUGGCGGCAUGCCUAACACAUGCAAGUCGAACGUGAUCCGGGGCUUCGGUUCCGGUGAAAGUGGCGGACGGGUGAGUAACGCGUGGGAACCUGCCCAGUGGUAGGGGAUAACCGCGGGAAACUGCGGCUAAUACCCUAUGUGCCCUGCGGGGCAAAGAUUCAUCGCCAUUGGAGGGGCCCGCGUCGGAUUAGGUAGUUGGUGGGGUAACGGCCUACCAAGCCAUCGAUCCGUAGCUGGUCUGAGAGGAUGAUCAGCCACACUGGGACUGAGACACGGCCCAGACUCCUACGGGAGGCAGCAGUGGGGAGUAUUGGACAAUGGGGGCAACCCUGAUCCAGCAAUGCCGCGUGAGUGAUGAAGGCCUUAGGGUUGUAAAGCUCUUUCGGCGGGGAAGAUGAUGACGGUACCCGCAGAAGAAGCCCCGGCUAACUACGUGCCAGCAGCCGCAGUAACAC